rnacentral:rRNA from 1 species
CGGAGGGUGCGAGCGUUGUCCGGAAUCAUUGGGCGUAAAGGGCGCGUAGGUGGCCCGGUCAGUCUUUGGUGAAAGCGCGGGGCUCAACCCUGCGUCGGCCAGGGAUACUGCCGCGGCUCGAGCACUGUAGAGGCAGGCGGAAUUCCGGGUGUAGCGGUGGAAUGCGUAGAGAUCCGGAAGAACACCGGUGGCGAAGGCGGCCUGCUGGGCAGUAUGGCUGACACUGAGGCGCGACAGCGUGGGGAGCAAACAGGAUUAGAUACCCUGGUAGUCCACGCCGUAAACGACGGGCACUAGGCGCUUGGGGGAGCGACCCCCCGAGGGCCGGCGCUAACGCAUUAAGUGCCCCGCCCGGGGAGUACGGCCGCAAGGCUG